UUAGCACUCAUGUGAAGCAACAUUGAGGGAUUCCGAUUGAAUUUCAAACCAAACCUACACACCAACCAUUCAACAUACCUCAUCCAUCUCCGCCAGGUCAGAAAUUGCCUCCGGCGGCAACGGAGCUCAUAUCUUCCCCCUAAACACAUCACCAGAACUAGAUUUCCAUCCUUAGCCUCGAAAACAACUCAAUUUCAUGCAAUUCUAAACCAUCAAUUCAGAAUUCAAAACUAGAAUGAAGAACCCUAGGAUUUCUAUUUAAAAUUUAAUGACGAUUGUUCAUGGAUUUGCAAUCAAGGUUUAGGGCUAAUGAUCUCUGGGGUGUAAGCUACACAGUGGUAACACGAUUAAGGUGAAAUGAGAAAAAAAGAGUUACCUCCGAAGCGACGAUUUACUCUGGUGAAAUGUUGAAUCGGAGAAGAAGCUUGCAACGAGGAAAUCACUUGAAUUUGAUACGUCUUCAUUUCUAUCUUCUUCUUAUUCCUCCUACUUCUAUUCUUCUUCUACUUUCUGACAUUGAGUGAGCUUCGAAGAACUUGCAAAUACAAUUCUAAGUAUGUUGAUUGUGAGAUUUUGAGUGUGAGUGUGAGUGUGAAUGUGCAAGCAUGAAUCAAAUUGUGAGUGAAACAAGCUAUUUAUGAAGGUUGGAUUAAGCCGAGUUUGAUCUCUAUUAAAUCGUGAUGAUGUGAGUUGGUUAGACAUCUCCAAUCUGUUGACUAAUCCCGUUAGAAAUUAGUUACUAGGAUUCAAAAGUUAGUUAGUUAGUUUUAUGAAAUGGAUUUCGAUUUUGUGAGUUGUCAAAUGAAAUGAACUGUUAGUUAUUUAUUGAUAAGGUUAGCUAGAAAAAUUGUUAGCUGUUAAAUGACUUGUUAGUUAUUAUAGUGAAGCAUGAGUUGUUAAUUGUUUUAGUUAAUUGGUGUUGGUAGUGGAAACAAGUUUUGGUUGAGAGUUAAUUAAAUGAUGGAAAACACAAUGUUAAUUGGAAAUUUAGAAUUGCUAGAUCUAUUGCUAACUGUUAGGUUGAAAUGUUGACUGGUAUGGUUUGUUGUGAUUUUAUUGAAAAAAACCUUGCUGCAAUUAUGAUAGUUUUAUGUUAUGCUUGCUUUACUAUGCUAGGUUAAAAUUGAUGGAGUUGUUAUAUGACAUGAUGAUGCAAUGCAAUGUAGUUGGUAUGGAAAUGAUAUACAGUCUGUUGUAAGGUCACAAGCAGGGCAAUGAUAUGCAGCUAUUUGUAAUGCAUUCUACAGGCCUAUCAUAAUUGCAGCAGGGCAUUCAAUUCAAGUGGGUGGUUUUAAUUUGAGCAUAUGUGCAAGUCAUCAUGUAGGUGUUGCUCCAUGUGAUUUCACUUUGGCAUGGUCCUGUAGUAGGGUGAAUGGUUUCUGAUGUAGCAGAGUUUGUGAAUGGUUCAAACCCAUAGUAUGGUUUGCAUUGCUUCAUGUUUGGAUGAACAUUUGGUCAUGGUUUGCUUUGACUCAUGGAGUGUUCUGACUUGUUCUUGGUUCUGUAGGCAUUACUUAUCAACAUUGCCUCAAUUCUGACCUUGGUGAAGCUGAACUAAAUUAGGCUUCACUCUCUUGUGCUUGGAGUUAUAUCCCCAGCAGAGUCGCCAUCUGUCGCAUCUCGAAAAAGUACGAUUCCUCGCGAUGGUCUCAGAAAAUAUUACGUUCGAACAGAGUCGCCACCGAACUUUAUUUAUCCCAAUAAAGGGAUAAGGAAAUAUCGAUAAAACCUUUAGGAAAUGGAAUAAUGGUCGUCGCAACCAUAUUCGGGUUCGGGAGUGGAUUACGUAAGGGGAAGGUAUUAGCACCCCUUACGUCCGUUGUACUCAACGGGAACCUUUUAGUUCUAAUGUGUGUUUCGAGUGUUAAUUUAUGUUUGUUUGUUA